CCUACGGGAGGCAGCAGUGGGGAAUAUUGCACAAUGGGGGAAACCCUGAUGCAGCGGCGCCGCGUGAGUGAAGAAGUAAUUCGUUACGUAAAGCUCUAUCAGCAGGGAAGAAACACUGACCUUACGGUCAGCAGACGGUACCUGAGUAAGAAGCCCCGGCUAACUACGUGCCAGCAGCCGCGGUAAUACGUAGGAGGCAAGCGUUGUCAGGAUUUAUUGGGCGGAAAGCGAGUGCAGGCGGGUCAAUAA
rnacentral:rRNA from 1 species